GUGGUACUACUCCACCAACACCUAGACAUGCAAGCUUUUUGGCUCUAGGGUUUUGUUUUUGCUAAAAGAGACUAAUGUAGGUCCUUACUUUCAACAUUUUAGCCACAAGUUCUAUUGUUGUUUUACCAAUCUAAGUUAGCAACUAUACUAAAUCAAGCAUAGUUUCCAAGGAAUUAAUAUAGGUAACAAAAUUUGAUUAUCAUCAUGUUUCAUUCUUACUUAGUGUAGCAUAGCGAUCAAGUAGUCCCAAACUGUAAGAGGCAGAUGAAUCAAUUCGAAUUUCUUAACCAUGCAUGGUGAACCUAACCUCACGACAUCUGCGCACCGCGAAGGGUCGCUUCAUUUGUCAGCCGUCCCCAUCAAUUCCCAGACCCGUGUCGGGCCCACUUCCCCUGGUACAAGGCUCCAUAGACCUGGCCUCUACCGUUCUAUGACCACACUUGUCACCACAUGCGACCGCAAGGGAACUCUGUUCAAGAGACAGUGGAACGAUCCGCUCACAUCCCGGUUCAAUUAGGUAUUAGGCUUCCCCAUCCCAG
rnacentral:lncRNA from 1 species